rnacentral:rRNA from 1 species
UGGGGAAUUUUGGACAAUGGGGGCAACCCUGAUCCAGCAACGCCGCGUGAAUGAAGAAGGCCUUAGGGUUGUAAAGUUCUUUUGUCUGGGAGCAAAGCGUGUUAGUUAAUAGCUGACAUAGAUGAGAGUACCAGAAGAAUAAGCACCGGCUAACUACGUGCCAGCAGCCGCGGUAAUACGUAGGGUGCGAGCGUUAAUCGGAAUUACUGGGCGUAAAGGGUGCGCAGGCGGAUAUAUAAGUUAGAUGUGAAAUCCCCGAGCUUAACUUGGGAAUGGCAUUUAAGACUGUAUGUCUAGAGUUUGUGAGAGGGGGGUAGAAUUCCAAGUGUAGCAGUGAAAUGCGUAGAGAUUUGGAGGAAUACCGAUGGCGAAGGCAGCCCCCUGGCAUAGAACUGACGCU